UGGGGGGUUCCGAAAAAAACGAUUUGAAAUUCCCAGGGUUCAACCUUUGAACUGCAUUUUUAACUGCCCGAGUUAGAGUAUGUCAGAGGGGCGUAUAAAUUCCCACGAGAAGCAAUGAAAUGCUAGAUUGUGGAGGAAUACCGAUGGCGAAGGCAGCCCCCUGCGAUAAUACUGACGCUCAGACACGAAAGCGUGGCGAGCAAACAGGAUUAGAUACCCUGGUAGUCCACGCCCUAAACGAUGUCAACUACCGCGGGGCCGUUAGGCCCCUUGUAGCACAACUAACGACGGAAGUUGACCAGCCGCAGGGAGUACGGUUGGCACGAUUAAAACUCAAAAGAAUUGACGCGGACACCCACACACGCUGUAUGAUCUGGGAAAACGAGACAAAACGAGAAAAACUUUACAUACCCUUGACAUGUCUGGAAAGCCGAAGAGAUUUGGCCGUGCUCGCAAGAGAACCGGAACACAGGUGCUGCAUGGCUGUCGUCAGCUCGUGUCGUGGAGUUGGGUUAAGUCCCGCAACGAGCGCAACCCUUGUCAUUAGUUGCUACGCAAGAGCACUCUAAUGAGACUGCCGGUGACAAACCGGAGGAAGGUGGGGAUGACGUCAAGUCCUCAUGGCCCUUAUGUAGGGCUUCACACGUCAUACAAUGGUCGGGACAGAGGGUCGCCAACCCGCGAGGGGGAGCCAAUCUCAGAAACCCGAUCGUAGUCCGGAUCGCAGUCUGCAACUCGACUGCGUGAAGUCGGAAUCGAGUAAUCGCGGAUCAGAAUGUCGCGGUGAAUACGUUCCCGGGUCUUGUACACACCGCCCGUCACACCAUGGGAGUGGGUUUCACCAGAAGUAGGUAGCCUAACCGUAAGGAGGGCGCUACCAUAGUG
rnacentral:rRNA from 1 species